rnacentral:rRNA from 1 species
AGCAGCCGCGGUAAUUCCAGCUCCAAUAGCGUAUAUUAAAGUUGUUGCAGUUAAAAAGCUCGUAGUUGAAUUUCGGAAUUUGUCGGUUGGUCGGGCUUCACUGUCCGCACUGACCUGAUGGAUUCCUACCUUCUGAAUAACCAGCAUGCUAUUAAUUUAGUACGUUGGGGAAGCAGAGCUAUUACCUUGAAAAAAUUAGAGUGCUUAAAGCAGGCUUGUGCUUGAAUAGAUUAGCAUGGAAUAAUAAAAUAGGACGGCAUGGUUCUAUUUUGUUGGUUUCUAGGAUCACCGUAAUGAUUAAUAGGGAUAGUUGGGGGCAUUAGUAUUCAAUUGUCAGAGGUGAAAUUCUUGGAUUUAUUGAAGACUAACUUCUGCGAAAGCAUUUGCCAAGGAUGUUUUCAUUAAUCAAGAACGAAAGUUAGGGGAUCGAAGACGAUCAGAUACCGUCGU